CCUACGGGUGGCAGCAGUCGAGAAUCAUUCACAAUGGGGGAAACCCUGAUGGUGCGACGCCGCGUGGGGGAAUGAAGGUCUUCGGAUUGUAAACCCCUGUCAUGUGGGAGCAAAUUAAAAAGAUAGUACCACAAGAGGAAGAGACGGCUAACUCUGUGCCAGCAGCCGCGGUAAUACAGAGGUCUCAAGCGUUGUUCGGAAUCACUGGGCGUAAAGCGUGCGGAGGCUGUUUCGUAAGUCGUGUGUGAAAGGCGCGGGCUCAACCCGCGGACGGCACAUGAUACUGCGAGACUAGAGUAAGGGAGGGGGAACCGGAAUGCUCGGUGUAGCAGUGAAAUGCGUAGAUAUCGAGAGGAACACUCGUGGCGAAGGCGGGUUCCUGGACACUAACUGACGCUGAGGCACGAAGGCCAGGGGAGCGAAAGGGAUUAGAUACCCCAGUAGUC
rnacentral:rRNA from 1 species